GGCCUUGCUCUUAUGUCAUCUGACUAAAGGUUUCAUAGACCAAAAAUAACCAUCCAACCUGUUGGAAUACUGAAACAAUUCCUGCCUGCUUUCCACACACUACAUAAAAUAUGUGGAUAUCCUAAAUUCUACAAAAAAAGAUUUGUAAGCAAAUCAAGCAAUACUGGGACUCCCUCUUCUCCAGAAGAGACAUCCUGGCCUCCAUGCAGAGGAAUGUGUGGAUAGACAUAUAUUUAAGGAAGACACUAAACCAGAAAAUACUUCAUUACACCCUCUUAAAAGACUUCUAAGAUUGUUGUCAUGCCUACCACUGACAUUCAGAUGAUGUGUAUUCUUGAUUGUGAUUUCAUGUUUAGAGCUGAUGAAGGAGUUUGAAGUCUCCAGAGCAGCAAGGAGAGUGGGGAGUAGAACUCAUCAUCUUUAGGUCACUCAUCACCG
rnacentral:lncRNA from 1 species